UCUUGCUUGCAGAGGAGCGGUUAGUGGCGGACUGGUGAGUAACACGUAAGAAAUCUGCCUAUCAGAGGGGAAUAACAGUGAGAAAUCAUUGCUAAUACCGCAUAUGCCAUAAUUAUCGCAUGAUAGUAGUGGGAAAGGAGCAAUCCGCUGAUAGAUGAGCUUGCGUCUGAUUAGCUAGUUGGUGGGGUAAAGGCCUACCAAGGCGACGAUCAGUAGCCGGACUGAGAGGUUGAACGGCCACAUUGGGACUGAGAUACGGCCCAGACUCCUACGGGAGGCAGCAGUCGGGAAUAUUGCGCAAUGGAGGAAACUCUGACGCAGUGACGCCGCGUAUAGGAAGAAGGUUUUCGGAUUGUAAACUAUUGUCCACAGGGAAGAAAAUGACUGUACCUGUGAAGAAAGCUCCGGCUAACUACGUGCCAGCAGCCGCGGUAAUACGUAGGGAGCAAGCGUUAUCCGGAUUUAUUGGGUGUAAAGGGUGCGUAGACGGGAUAACAAGUUAGUUGUGAAACCCCUCGGCUUAACUGAGGAACUGCAACUAAAACUAUUAUUCUUGAGUGCAGGAGGGGAAAGUGGAAUUCCUAGUGUAGCGGUGAAAUGCGUAGAUAUUAGGAAGAACACAGUGGCGAAGGCGACUUUCUGGACUGUAACUGACGUUGAGGCACGAAAGUGUGGGGAGCAAACAGGAUUAGAUACCCUGGUAGUCCACACUGUAAACGAUGGAUACUAGGUGUAGGAGAUAUUAAAGCUUCUGUGCCGUCGCAAACGCAGUAAGUAUCCCACC
rnacentral:rRNA from 1 species